rnacentral:rRNA from 1 species
AGUCGACGGUGAAGCCAGCUUGCUUGGUGGAUCAGUGGCGAACGGGUGAGUAACACGUGAGCAACCUGCCCUGAACUCUGGGAUAAGCGCUGGAAACGGCGUCUAAUACUGGAUAUGAGCUGCGGAGGCAUCUUCGUGGUUGGAAAGAUUUUUCGGUUUGGGAUGGGCUCGCGGCCUAUCAGCUUGUUGGUGAGGUAAUGGCUCACCAAGGCGUCGACGGGUAGCCGGCCUGAGAGGGUGACCGGCCACACUGGGACUGAGACACGGCCCAGACUCCUACGGGAGGCAGCAGUGGGGAAUAUUGCACAAUGGGCGGAAGCCUGAUGCAGCAACGCCGCGUGAGGGAUGACGGCCUUCGGGUUGUAAACCUCUUUUAGCAGGGAAGAAGCGAAAGUGACGGUACCUGCAGAAAAAGCGCCGGCUAACUACGUGCCAGCAGCCGCGGUAAUACGUAGGGCGCAAGCGUUAUCCGGAAUUAUUGGGCGUAAAGAGCUCGUAGGCGGUUUGUCGCGUCUGCUGUGAAAUCUGGGGGCUCAACCCCCAGCCUGCAGUGGGUACGGGCAGACUAGAGUGCGGUAGGGGAGAUUGGAAUUCCUGGUGUAGCGGUGGAAUGCGCAGAUAUCAGGAGGAACACCGAUGGCGAAGGCAGAUCUCUGGGCCGUAACUGACGCUGAGGAGCGAAAGGGUGGGGAGCAAACAGGCUUAGAUACCCUGGUAGUCCACCCCGUAAACGUUGGGAACUAGUUGUGGGGUCCAUUCCACGGAUUCCGUGACGCAGCUAACGCAUUAAGUUCCCCGCCUGGGGAGUACGGCCGCAAGGCUAAAACUCAAAGGAAUUGACGGGGACCCGCACAAGCGGCGGAGCAUGCGGAUUAAUUCGAUGCAACGCGAAGAACCUUACCAAGGCUUGACAUACACGAGAACGCUGCAGAAAUGUAGAACUCUUUGGACACUCGUGAACAGGUGGUGCAUGGUUGUCGUCAGCUCGUGUCGUGAGAUGUUGGGUUAAGUCCCGCAACGAGCGCAACCCUCGUUCUAUGUUGCCAGCACGUAAUGGUGGGAACUCAUGGGAUACUGCCGGGGUCAACUCGGAGGAAGGUGGGGAUGACGUCAAAUCAUCAUGCCCCUUAUGUCUUGGGCUUCACGCAUGCUACAAUGGCCGGUACAAAGGGCUGCAAUACCGCGAGGUGGAGCGAAUCCCAAAAAGCCGGUCCCAGUUCGGAUUGAGGUCUGCAACUCGACCUCAUGAAGUCGGAGUCGCUAGUAAUCGCAGAUCAGCAACGCUGCGGUGAAUACGUUCCCGGGUCUUGUACAC